UUUCUUUAUCCCUCGGCUGGAAUCCUGGCGAUUUUUUAACUCGCCUAAUUUCACCGAUUAUAAAAUGCGAUCAACGCGAUGCGGUUGAAGCGUGUAACUUCCAUAUUCUCUGUUUUAAUCCGGCGAACGUUUCGAAGAGCCCGUAAUCGCAGUUUUGCGACUACUUUUUAAAGCUCUUGGCCUCGUGAUGAAAAAAUGCCUGCUGUGUGAGCGAUGAAAGAAAAAAAAAUUCUCUCUUUCCUCCUCGUCGGGCCAUCCGGCAUCGCGACAUCCUGAACGGAUGAGCGGCAUCGUUAAAAUUCAGCACCUUCCGGCGGAAUUGCCGGAUUACUUAGAGCGGAUAUAUGUUGGAAAAAAAAGAUGCGGGAUCGCAGUCGCGUCGGUCGCGUUGUUGUCGGAAAUUUGAUAUGGAUAUUGCGAAGAACGCAUCGAUGGCGAAAUAAAAAUAAGUGAAUAAAAAAAAAUGACGUAAAAGAUAAAUUCGUUUCAUGUGUACCGUGAAUGUAUAGGUACACUAAUAGGCAUCCAUAUAUACCCUAAUGAUCAGAGAGAUCGAUUUAUUCGGAGGGAAAAAAUUGAGCAGCCAACCCGAACUGCGCUACAAAAUGUUGGGGGUUGGGAGUGGUGGUUUGUUAAGCAGAGCCUCGAGGAGAUCUACCAUUGAUGUAUACUCAAGUUGCGGAACGAUAUUCUCGGGACAUUUCUUCGUAAUUCAUUACGUUUCAUUCGACCGAUUUCGUCAUUGAUUUUCAUGAGCGUAACUCGCCGUACAUUAAAGAAAAGUUCUUUCAGACAUUUCACCGAGUGGAAUCACAUCGAAUUCGAAGGGAAUUUAAAUAACGAACAACGAUUUCCGGUUGACUUUUGGUCGAGAGAAAAUAUACUCAGAUUGAAAAUAAUGUGCGUGUACGAUUGUUUUGAAUUUCUCUUCACCGAAAUUCCAUUGCUGCGACUUUUGAGUAAUUUAACAAUAAGAUGUAAUGAACAUCGAUUGCCCUGGGGGUUUUAGAACGUUCUUUUUCUUACUGUACUUGCCCUGUCUCGACGCUGCGGGGCUGGAACUAAUUACACGGGAUGUAUGUACAAAACCUAGAACCAAAAGUCGAUGAUAAAAUCAAUAAGUUUUCAAACACAUCGUAUUGCUCAAUGCAACGGUUAUCGCACGAAAUGCGUUCGCGAAGUUUUAUUUUUUUUGAGUGCCGAUAACCCCCACACAUAAAAGAAAGAAAUAAUUCAGAGUUAUAUAUAAUGUAUAUCCAACGCCAUAUGUACAUCGGUUCACCAUAUCGUUAAUGAGUUGCGACAGUGUGGUCAUUAUUCGACCGGGAAUUGAGCGUUGUAAUUGAUUCUAGCGAUUUUCGUUUACACGCAGAUGAAAAUACACCCGAUCGACUCUACGUGCAUCGAAGAAUUAUAUUCACAAAAGCAAAAUCGAGGUGGGCAACGUUGAGUUUGUUAUGUUAGAUUUCGUCGCCGCAGCGCCCUUGCGUUUCUCAUAUAAUUGUCCAAUGUUUAGAAAGGUACGGAGGUGGUCUGAAAUAUGACAUAAUACCUCACCCCAAGGUCAAUUAUACAGUAAUUUAAACGGGCUAUUAUAACAGCCUCCUCGAGUUUACAGCCAGACUUUACAAUUAGUCAGAAACUGAUAUCCCUACUAUAUUUAGAUAUCACGAACAAUAUUGCUCGUAGUAUAUAAUACCCGAAAUGAAAGCCCUCGGUUAUCCACCGAAAAGUUUGAAAUUUUUAAACCUCGAUUUUGCGUGAAAGGAUUUACAUAGUUCGAACAAAGUUACUCGUUACAGCUGAGUAACACCCACGCGAUUAUUUCAACGUACGAAAGAUUGCGCGAUAUCCAGAGAAUCGGAAUAAGCAAACAUCCCUUCAUUCCGUAUACCACGGGCGUAUUUUUUCCCUGUAUUCUCCUAACUUCGUAUAUACUCGACAUUCGAAUGUCGCUAAUGUUAUUGUAACCGAUAUGUUUUGUAACUCCACCCUUCUGACUGGGAUAAAAUAAACGAAUGUAUUAUUGAUUCGGAAUUUUCCUACCGAGGCGUGUAUACGGUUACCGAAUUAAACCACGACGAAUCGUCGCCUGCUUAUAUGGCGCUCCGAUUCUCCGAAAUUCUUCCACUUCCUGCACCCUUAAUACGGUCCGAUGGGAAUCAUCGCCCACGUAUGCGUUGCUGUUAGGGGCUCAGUUAAUAAACAUGCAUAAUAUACACCGGAGUGGUCAGCCACAUCACCGUGUGUAACCGAUAUAUUAUCAAUUAUCAGAAUCUCUCUGUGAAUUCAUGUGUCCGUAAAAAAUCUGGAUCGGAUAUCACUGUUGUUAUAAAUUCACCGGCGAGUUUCAUUCCCUUGGAAAAGAGGGUGCGUUUUUCCAUGAUAUUUUUUUUUCAUCCAAUCGACUUUAUAAUAACAUCAGAGCGAAUUUGUUGCGCGCGGUAUGUCGUACCUUAUAUUCAACUGAUGUCUGGAAGCGAAAGUGAAACGUGGAAACCUUUGAAAAAUGUUAGUUUUGAAAUUGAAAAUUUGUUACACGGAUAUCAUAUCCACACUUUCACCGGCCUUAGGGUUUUCCGAAGGUGCGGGGAUGUCUUAUGUUUCGGUGGAAGGGGAUACUAUAUUCAGCGGUAUCUUUCGAUGGUUCUGAGUGGUUUUCGGGUGCCCUAAUGUCAUGUUUUCCCGUACAAUCAUGGUGGGGAAAGUGAACAUAAAUUGAAUCGCAGCUACACACAACUACCCAUUGAUAAUUACUACAGUCCAAUUGACGGAACUCGUCUCCAACAUGGGGACCUCCGCGCUGCAGAUUUGUUCCAGGCUCGUAAUUUUACUGGCUCUGGGUCAUGCCGCGGUUAUCGAUAGUCGGGCCGACGCUACAGAUGAAAUUUCGGUUGCCGCUGACGAAAUUUGUCCAUGCAUAGUACGUGAUGAAUGUCCACGAAUUUUCGGAACUUUGCCGGAGGACGCGUUGCUCGGUAAUUUUCCACCUUGCGCAGACCCGGAAGCAGUAAGAUGCUGCGGAGUUUCGACCAGCGUCUCAGUGGAGACUAACGUUUCCGAGGGUUCUCCAAAACCCCCGAAAACAGAAAGUUUCGGGCGACCCGAAAACAAGAAAAAAAGGAAAUCACGGCGAAAAAAACUUCCCGUCAUCCCUCCUGACAUCCAGAUACCCGUGCCUUUCCAAUUCCCGGAAUACCUCGACUAUAGGACAACGACGCCGAGCACUGCAGAUGAGGUAAUUGCAGAAGGGAAACAGAACUUGGGGGCAGAAUUGGGCGUUGUUGAAGAACGCGGUGGAAGCAUCGAGGAUAAUAUUUCACGGGGUGAGGCGGCAUCCGAUGCCUUUGUGUCUUCCGAUCGCCUUGAUUAUCGAGGUGUUAAUAAAUACGGUACGUCAGAGGAACUCGGAGGAGGGGCAGAAAAUAUACGCAGCGGAAGUCGACGCGGCAAAAUAUCGUCGUCGAGUAAAAAGGUCGAGAGUAACUCGGAGACUAGCGAAAAAAAAUCAGAGAGUUUUUUCACGGCCGAAGAUAUAACUACGAAGGUUCAAACUGCUGACAAAAUCCCUGAAAAUGAAUCCUUCGAGAGCCCGGAAUUUUCCGAUCAACGGAAUGUCCGUUUAAACGACCCUAAUUCAGACUCCAGAACUUUAAAGGUCUCGACGAAUCGCCAGGAGGCGUCUGUUCAACAAAAAAGCGAAACGGUCAAGAAAGAAUCGUCCAACUUUGAGGAAAGCAGUUUUUCCAACUCAGCGGUCACCGAACAGCAGCAAGAAGAACUUGAUGCUGGACAGGGAAUCGUUUCGCGAAGAAGAAGACCAACGGCUGUCAGAGAUCAAAUAAACUCUGGAUCACGUUCCAAGGUCACGAGUCAGCAGCAGAACAGCGAAACGGUAACCAAGGAAUCGAAGAACAUUGUGGAGAGCAGUUCGAGUCGUGAUUCCCUGACCUCGACGAAUGUCGCUAGUACUGGGAAACUUGCUGUGAAACGAAGAAGACCGAUCAAAGGAGUUUAUCAACAGAAAAACGAGGCUUCUUCCCAACAAAAUAGUCAGUCUGUCGAACAGGAGUCUUCGAAAAUUGAGAAGAGCUCGAAAAAUUUUGCUUCAAAUAGUGCGGAUCUGGUGGAGCAGGAUGCGAGUUCAGAAAUAGAGGCUCUGCAACAAAAUUCGAAAGGUAAAACGCGAUACGGACGAAAAAAACAAAUUUCUUCCCAAGCUAAUAGCGAAAGUGUGAAGAAAGAAUCUUCGCGAGUAGAAGAAAGCUCGUCAUCGAACUCACAGACCCUGAUCUCGAACAGUGAGAAUAAUUUGGCCGGAGACUUGAGUGUAGAAAUUAUUGACGUUAAUCGUGAGCCAAUUAGUACAAACGCGUUUGACUUGAGAGGUGGAUCUGUUUAUGGACAACAGAAGCAGACCUCAUCGCAACAGCAGAACAAAAUUUCCAAAAAAGAGUCCUCAACGGUGGAAGAAAGCUCAUCGUCGAAUUCCCAGACCUUGAAUUUAGGCAGUGAUAUCACAUCGGAUGAAGACGUACAUUCUGUAACUAUUGAAACUAAUCGGAGGCCGACGCCAAUUAGAGAAAAGAUUUCCGGCUCCAGAGGUAAGACGGUCUACGGACAACAAGAACAGACUACUUCCCAGCAGAUGAGUGAAACUUUUACUAAGAAAUCAUCGGAAGUAGAGGAAAGCUCGUCUUCAGGUUCACAGACUAUCAUUCUAAAUAAUCAAAAACUAUCGAGCGAUGAUGCUGGCUCAGGAGUUGUCGAGAUCGAUCAACGCCCAGCUCUAAUUAAGGAUACAACAUCCGGUUCAAGGGGCAAUACAAUCUACGGACAACAAAAGCAAACUUCUACAAAAACUAAGAGUGAGAGUGUGACUAAAGAAUCUUCGAGCACAGAAGAAAGUAGUUCUUCGAAGAGCCAGAACGUCAGCCUGAACAACAGGUACACCGUAGGGAAUCGUGAUACCAUUUCUGAACUCCGAGAGGCAAAUACCCAAGAUUUAGCGACUCGCGAGCAAUUAGAAAACUCUUCUAACCAGAAGAAAACCGAGUCCAAAAUCGAAGAGUCCUCAAGUUUUGAGAAAAGCAAAACAUCGACGAUCGAAGAAGCCUCGCUCGAUCAUUCCACUUUGCAGAAUCAUGAGUUGGCUAGCCAAAUCGACGAAGAACUUCACGCAGACUAUAAGGAGAUCAUUGCGACAGAAGAGAAAAAAGAUACACUGAACAAGCAGUCGUCGAGCAUUGAAGAAAAUUCCUCAUCCAUGAUCAGCGGACAUACAUCAACGGGAACCGAGACUAAGAAGGCUUCGGAGGAAUACAAAGAACAUUCUUCCACAAAUAUAAAGAGCGAAAUGAGUUCAAGCGAAUCUCAUAACACUGAAAGUACCAGUUCGACCGUCACGUCAAACCUGAUGAAUCUAUUAGGCGGAAAGAUAUCAGCUAUGAAAGAAAUGAUGGACGAAAAUAGGCACUCGGGAUACUGGCGUGUCGCGAAUCGAACUUAUGUUCCCGUUCUUAUCAAUGCUGGUUUCUUGAAGGACCGUCCAACUUCGACUGGACAGCUGGGACUCGAUCCUCUAUCUGGAGUAACGCACAGCGACAUAUUAGACCCUCAUCUUGCUCCUGAACUUUUGCCCUUGAGCUGCGGCAAUGUGGUGUUCGGAGAGCGCGUGAAAAACGGAAAGACUCUGGUAUGUGAAAUCCCCCAUGACAAUAUACCGCCAAUUCGAUUUCCUGGGAAUGGUGAGAGCCAAGUUAGUCGUGGAAAACUGAAGGGUCCGAUACUCCCGGACGCUAUUGUACCACGUGACGAUUCUCCAGAGUCCAAUGAGGACCGCGAAUCAUUCAGGCAGCGAACUACCGUUAAUAUCGAAGAUGGUGUGAUUAGCAAAAAUGUAAGGAACUCCGAGGCAACUCACUAUACCGAGUCUACGAAUAAAUCGGCAAACACGGUGUCUGACGAAGAACUUCGAAAGCCGAUCAGGAUCAGGAAAGUUCUUGUAAAACGGCCAACCACCGCUCUCUCUGAAGAAGACGACGAAGCAGCCCAAAUAGAGAAAGCGCAGUUUAAUCCACAAAGGAUCCAGGGAGUGUUCCGAGGUAAUGUGCGUCAUUCAACGAGCGGAACCAACAACUUUAACAAACAAGCGGAUGUAAUAUCUGAAGAAACUUCGAAACAGUCUCAAGCUACGAUGUCCAGCUCCUCCGUGAAAACUUCUUUGUCGGAAGAGUCCGCUUCUGAAUCUAGCUCUAUUGUAGAAACGAAUAAAUCAGUGUCCCACGUCUCUGCUGAAGAGGUUGGAGAAAAUAACGAGGAUUCAAAAAUUACUGUUCAUCUUCCGGAGAUCCAGGUAGCAAAAAUGAAGGCGAUAAUAAAUGAUGGAGAAAGAGAGCUCGAAAGUAUCGCUGUUCGGGAAAGCCAAGCUAAACAGACGGUAGCCUCGACGUCAAGCUCGUCUUCAACAAAAAGUAUGACGUCCACAGUGGAAUCUGCUUCUUCCUCAAGUUCCACCCAAGAAAUUAAUGAAUCGGAGACAGCGAUCUCUUCCGAUGAAGACUACUAUGAAGAUGAAGAUGAAGAUGAAGAUGAAGAUGAAGAUGAUGAAGACGAAACCCCGGAUAAAUUCUACGUUCUUCAGUUGGCGCCGAUCCUUCCUCCUGCUCCCAAGGAAUCGCCAAAAGAAGUCGAAGAAAUUAAGCUCGUGACCAACGCAAAAUUAAUGCCAACAAAUAACUACGAAGAUGAUAAAGAAGAAGUGGAGAUCCCUACGCGACCCAUUAACCGCAAUAAUAUCAGAAAUUUGGGAUCCGGAGGUCAGAGACUUGGAGUAGAGAGCAACGAUCAAUUGGAGGUCGGUUCUCGGCAAGUAGCCAAGCAGUCCAUAACUUCCACCUCCAGCUCUUCCAAGAAGUCUUCGUCCACCCAAGAGUCUGCAUCCUCUUCCAGCUCAGCGUUAGAAGUAACUAAAUCAGAGUUUGAUGACUCUUCCAUUGAAGAAUUCGAUGCAGAGCAUACAGAAGAAGAUCUAAAAUCAAAGUUCUACUCGCUGCCUCUUGCCCCGAGCCUUCCUUUCGCGCCUCAGCAAUCUUCAGAAGUUGAUGAAGGCGUAGAAAUCGUGGAAGUCAUUGAGGAGAAUCCAGUAGUGAGGACUAAGGUCGGGAAAAGGAGAAUGAGACUAACGUCUUCCGCCCAAAAGCAACCUCCUAACGACCUUAAAGUCGUCAGCAUAAAAAACUCCGAAGAUAACGGAGCAAUUCUCGAACAACAGCGUUUCGUCCUGCCGGAAGAUGAAUCAUGGACACCGCACUUCUUGUACCACCGGAACAGCCGACAAGUGAAGCUCUCCCUACCGGAAGCGAAAACACUUUCUCCUGAGAGCCUUGCCAUGCCAGGAAGAGCUCAUGUCAUAGGACCGCUACCUAAUGGAUUCAAGGACCCCGCGGUAUCAAAAGAUAAUAUUCUCCCAUUGGAACUUCCGGUGAAGAGCAAAAGCGAGUCGUUCCGACCCGCGACUUCAGAAACUGAUGAGCAUAAAGUCUGAGUACGGGAUCUUAAUGCUUUUAGACCAUCUCCCCUCGACCCAAUAAGUUGGUCUUAAAAUAUUUUUACAUUUAUAUUCGCCGUACGAUAAUAGCAGAUAAAUGCUGAAUUGCGACAGAACUUGAAGAUCCAUUCAAAAUAUGAGGAGGACAUAAAAUUAUCGAACCUACUUACUACAAAUCUGUUAUUUAUUAAUUUUAUCAGCCCAUAUGCAUAAUUGUUGAUUAUAUCCCUCUGUACAGAUUCAAAUAAUGUGAACAAUGUGAACUGAUUCAAAUAACGUGAAACGUCGUAAUCGCCAUUCCAUCAUAUCAUGUAUUGCAUCCUGCUAUAAUGCAUUGCAUGUGCAUCAAGAUUCGAUUCUGAUUUACCAUGAGAUUCAGACUCGCCUCUUUGUUAUCAUAUGUGCCCCCUACACUCGACAACUAGAGGUGAAAUUUGAAAAAUCAAACCGACAGAAUUCAAACGUAAUAAGAGCAACAGGUGACGUCGGUUACUCUGCUCGUUGACGCUCUGCUCUGCGUUAAAUUGUGUUUGAUACAAGUUUCUUCGUAAUCGUAAUUGUAAAGGAAUGGCAGAAU